ensembl:lncRNA
UUUCCCAGUAUCUUGGUCUAGGAACGAAUUUUGAGCGUUUUUGCCCAUUUCUUUGUCUCUUGCAGGAAUUUGCGGAACCAUCUAAUAAAUGAGAAUCUCACCCAGAAGGUGAGCUGCACCCUCUCCCUCAAGCAUCUUUCCCAGUCUGAUAAUUUUCAUGACCAACAGGGGAAGGCAAUGCAUUCCAAGGUAUGGAGCCAGUUUUAUUAGAAAUGAACAUCACUCUGGGAAUGAAAAUAGAACAGAAUGAGGAGGAUAGGAUGGGAUAGGAUGAGAUGGGAGAGAGGAGACAGAGAAGAAUAAAUAAAAGAAGUGAAAAGAAGAGGAAAGAAGGUUGUCUUCAGGAAUUGUACACAGUAAGUGCAGAGCCAGAAUUGAGGUGUUGGUUGCAAAAAAGCAGGGUCUGGAGUGGAGAGGAAGGACCUCAGAACCAAGAACACGGGGUGUGGAGUGGGCGCCGUCUUCACCAAACACAGGGACCAGGCUUGUAACUCCAACCCUCCCCCUACGGUCUGGACUUGGCUCUUACCCCUUCUUCUCA